AACAGAAUACGCGAAAUCGACAAAAGCUCGAUUUCUGACAGAAUUCAAGUGGCACAUCGAACAAAUACUUCAGAAUAUCAAUUAUGCUCCAAUACCCAUAAUAAAACUACUGUUGAAAGAUAUAUCAAUCUGUUUUCUGAUGAAAUAAGUUUCAUACGAAUCAAGGUUUCCAACAAGGAGUUACCAUGGAUUUAGUGACCAAAGGUCAAAGACUGAAUCACUGUUUUGCAGAAUUUAUAGGGC
rnacentral:lncRNA from 1 species